CACCUAUUCUGAGCGGCCGAAAGACCCGGCUUAACGACGCCGCAGCAACCCACUCCGCCCCGCCUCUUUGGGGACGGGAAGGGUGCUAACGCCGGGUUCGAUGGGAA
rnacentral:ncRNA from 2 species